rnacentral:lncRNA from 1 species
GGGCUCCGAAGCUUGUGACCGGAACAUUUUAUUGAAAGAAGCCUCCGUUCUUUGUCAAAUUGCCACAAUUCGUCCGGAAGACUCCUAGAAAUCAUUUGGGGAAUUAAAACUCGACCGAUUUUAUUUUCAAAGUACACGAAAAAGGUAAAAUUCAGUUUCGUGUUAGGUUAUUGUUAGGCAAGACAGCCGUAAGUGCUAUCUUCUGCAUGCUUUCGUGGUUGCGUUUUGAACGCACAUCAAACACAUUUCCAGGUUAGAAAGUGGCAGAAGAGGGCGGCACUUUACUGGAAAGCACUGUUUUCAUUGGCCCUACGGCUGUCUUGAAAAAAAACUGUGUCAUUUUUUGUGCACUUACGGCUUUUACAUACGUCUCGUUUUCACUAAAUUAGGAUGAAUUUUGCUGUUUUAGCUGUCUCAGUAAUUUCAUCUAAAAGAGUUUAGACGAAUUUUGAAGAAAACUCGAUUUCGAAAAUUUUGCACUUACGGCUCUCUUCGCUAUCACGGCAGAAAUGCCAAGUUUGUUUUCAAUGACUAUUUCAACGUAUGUUGAUUAUUUUUCGUCCAUUUCCUUCCCAGAGAGGUGCCGUUACACAUGCGCGUGUACAUGUACGAACUGAUCGGGAUCGGUCUGGUCGGCGGUUGCUGCUCGACGUACAGUGCGCUCAUCGACAUGGUCGGACCAGACUCCUUCACCAAGCCUUGCUAUUGGCCGAACUGAUCCAACUUCAGUAUUAACUGCACCGUCGAGCUUUCUUCCUUACUGUAAGUCGCACAUUCUGCUUCAGCCCAAUCAGAUCUCCUUCUGUUUUUAACCUGUUGUUACCUGUUGCCAAACCUGCUUUCAGUAAAAUAGUUUAUCUCCACCUCGGUCUCAUGAUCAAGCAACAUAACUUAUUUGGACUUUUUUUGGAAUGUCCCGUGAGAGGAUACCAGCACUUUUUUCUUCUUAAUUUUAAAUUGGAUGUAAACACGCCUAAAUCCGAUUUUAAUUCUGAAGUUUGCAGAUCUAGAAAUUUUGAAAGUCCAAAAAAGUUCAGGAAUUUUUAUACACAGGCAGUCAGGCCAUUUAACUUUGGAACAUCCUUUAUAUUGUCGGUGAAAACGUUAUUCUUACUAUGAUUUUCUUGGGUAUUAUAUUGUUAUACAUACAAUACAAUAUAUGUUGUUCAUUCUAUGAUCUUGUGAGACCGAUGUGGGUUGAAUUUGUGGCACUAGGCCUUCGGCUGAAGCAGUAUUUACGUAAUGAAAUAAAGACUGUCGAGUUUAUUUUCAGAUCCGUUCCAGGUUCUGGAUGUUUUCGCAUCAUUUGUGCCCUACUUUCUGUGUAGUUUAUCCUGGAUGACCUACCUGGAAUUUACUUAUCUUACCAGAAUAGAAAAUAACAGGAUAAGUACCAUGUUUACAGGGAAAAAGUUUAAGAAUUUGAGAAUUUUCCAAUUAGCAAACACAUCAUAUUAAUCCUUCUGAUAUUUUUGCUGGAGGGGGGGGGGGAACCUUUUUGAGAUAUCAUGCGCCUCUCUCUGAUGUUUAAUUUUUUAUAAGAAAAUUGAAAAACACCUAAACUUGAAAUCCUGUGAGUGUAUUCGCCACAAUCUGAGGUAAACUUACUGAAAGUUUAAGUGUUUAAAGUAGUUCAGUGCUCUGUUCAAAAAAUUUAACUUGAGAAAAAUCAGGCGAAGUGAAAGGUGGUCAGGCUUAUUCUGCUUACAGGGUUGCCAGCGACCGGGAAAACCGGGAAAAGUCAGGGAAAAAAAAAUCAACCGGGAAAAGUCAGGGAAAGUCAGGGAAUUUCGGUUUUGGUCAGGGAUUUUUCUGAUUUUCGUGGAAUUAGGCGCGGGCGGUUCUAAAAAUUUAAAUAGUCGAAAAUAGCUGUCAUUUUCACUUUAACAGACUGCGUCAGAUCCAUACUUGAAAGUCAGGGAAAAAUAUUGGAAAGUCAGGGAAAAGUCAGGGAAUGGAAAAAAAUAUUUUGGCUGGCAACCCUGUGCUUAAAUCCGUCUGAAUUAUGACUAGUAAACACAAUAAGUAGGUAAGAUACACAUAAUAAAAGUUCACAAUGCUCUUGUGCUAAGGAACAAUGCUGUACGAAAAUUCGAGAGUUGCCGAAUGUCCUUUGAUAAAAUGUUUAUUUUUGAGGAAAAUUAUGAAUAUUUUUCCUCGACAUUUUCAUGAACUUUAGAUCAAAAUACAAACAAAAUUCUCUUAAAAAUUAGAAGAAGUUUACCGAGGAAUUGGCGUUCCAUCAAAGAAAAUUUGGCGACACCUGAAGGUUCGUACGCUGUUUUUCCUCAGCACGGCAGAAUGGUAGUUUUUUAUCCUUGUCAGCGAGGCGAUUAUUGAAACUGAUGGACAAGGCGAUAGAGAAAGAAGGCAUAGAGAGUAUGGAGCGAUCUUAUUGGUUGACAUGGUUGGUUCUUAUAGACUAAGGAAGAAAAUGAUGGACUAACUGUCGGGGCUUUAGUGGGUUGCCGUUAGUUAGUCCAUUACCUAAGUCCUCUGUCUAUUGCCACCACCUGCUUCCACCAAUAGGAUCCCUCCAAAUCCCUUUUGUCGUCUUUGUCUAUAGCUUUGUCUAUCAGUUUCAAUAAUCGCCCCGCAGCCCUCUAAAUAGUUUUAAAUAAACUUCCUUAAGAAGAAUCUGUGCGUCUGCUCUGUUUCGGAGCUCAUUAACUUUUUUUUUUUUAUUUUGUUAAUUUUUAUUUAUCUAUUUAUUUAUUUAUUUAUUUUAAUUUGCGUACAUGAGAGCCCCAUUGUUGGAGCUAUGGCACAAGUCAAACAACACUAGGAAUGAUACUACACUACAAUAAAUAAAAUAUAAAUUACAAAUUGUACAAGAAUCUUAUUCAACAGCUGGAUUAAGAAAUUCGUUCAAAUUAUAAAAUGCCUGCUUUUGUGCUUUUGUGCAAAAUUACGCACAUUUAUGUUUAUUAUUAGCUAAUCUAAUUUUUAAUAAUUAAUUUUAGUAGGUUAAAUGUAUAAGUGGUCUUUUUAUCCACAUAUCUUGAACUUGUUAUGCAGUUACGAAUUUUUAUCAAAUCUUUUGUAUAAUCCUCAGACACAACAAAACGUUGACGCUAUUUUUCACUUUUUAUUAGUUAGCAAAGAGUUCACUAAAAUUUGUCUAUCAUAAGAAUAAGCUGGGUCUCACUGAGAACAUUGAGGCUAGUCAAAUUGGACUGCAUUUUGCAAUUUGGACCUAUAAAUUCUACCUCAUCUGAAAAAACACUUAUGUGCAUAGGAAAACCAAUGGCACAUACGCUGUUUUUAAACCGGGCCGGAAUUCAUAGGUCCAAAUUGCAAAAUGCAGUCCAAUUGGUCAGACAUGUCUAAACUAAAAAGAACUUAGUGCAAAUUAUGAAAAGGGACUAUAAACGUAGUAUUGGCACGUCUCUUGGUUCCUGUCAGUUCAAUUUUUUCUUACUUAUGUAGUUCCUUUUUGUGUAAUUACGCCCAUCCUGUCUUUUCAGUGAAGAAGCAUCUUGUGUUUCUCGAUUUUACCUUCACAUGGCUUGAAAGUGAAAGAAACUGAAAUGAAAGUUUUAGGAACGAACAUAAUUUCAGUCUCUACGAAAAGUCACCAAGCGUAACUAAUAUGACUUCAUUUUGCCAUGAGGAACUACAAUUUCUGGCCCAUACCUUAAACACCUAUCUGCGCAAGGAAGCUAACAGCACAUAUCGUCACCUUCCCGGCAAAGUAUCACAAGCGCCAUGCGACGUUUAAAAAUUUCGGUCGCCAUUUUAUUUUUUACAAAGAAAUUGUUGGUUGAAUCUGGUUGAAAAUUUCACUGAAUUUUAUCGUCAGCACGAAGAUAAUUCAGUGAAAUUUUUGGACAGCUUCGUUGAACAAUUUCUCUGUUAGAAAAUAAAAUGGCGGCAGAAAUUUUUAAACGUCGCAUGGCGCUUGUGAUACUUUGCCGGGAAGGUGACGAUAGGUUGUUUCUGAAAUGAGCCAGGAAUUGUAGUUUUUGAUUGCAACAUGUAGUUCCGUUUUGAUUCUGUCCCUCGUUUUUCUUGAUUCUUUUGAAUCUGUAUUUUAAAAAUCCUUUUUAAAUCGUUUACACAAACGGUAGGUAAUGAUUCCAAUUUUUUCCACGGAAAUAAAAAUUUUCAAGGAAAUUGAAAUAGCAUGUUCUGGGAAAAAUCAAUUCAAACACUCGGCAUUAGUAUAGAGUGUGGAAACAAUUUGACUACCUUUGCAAUGGACCACUAGACAAGGUACGAAUUUAAGCAUUCUUAUGAAUGUUUCCUAGUUAGAAUUUCACGUAGAGCACGAUUCGCGCAACGAAAACUAAUGAAACCAACUCCUAACGAAGAUAUUAACGUUUUUAUUUCACAUUCGUUACGAGGAAUUUGAACUGCCCGCUCACAGAAACUCAAAGCUCCACGUGAGUCAAAUCGCGCACUACAACGGUUUCGGCAAUCUUCUCAAUCGAGCAAUGUUCAUUUCUCACCAUGUGUUGUUCAAACUAUUAGCAAUUUGCUAUAACUGAGCCAAAGCGUCAAAAUUGAGGUUGCCACAUUUUUAUAUUGCAGAUUCUGUGUUAUUAUAACGUUGAGCGCGCAUUGUGAGUCACGUAGAGCAUUGAGUUUUCAUGAGCGGGUGGUUUGAAUUCACGCACCAAGAAUCAUUAAAUAUCUCUGAAAGGAGUUGAUUCCGGUAAUUUUCGUUGUGCGCAUCGUGUUUUACGUGAAAUUUUGGUGAAGAAACAUAUAUCAGAAUGCUGAAAUUCGUACCUUGUCUAGUGGUCCAUUAGGAACUGCAAUUUCAGGCUUAGUUUUACCAACAACGUAUGUGCCAUUAGCUUCCCCAUCCAGAUAAGUGUUUAUACGGAUAAGUCAGAAAUAGUAGUUCCCAGGUGCAAAAUGCAAUUCAACUUUUUGCAGGAAGAAGGCUGUACAUUAAAAAGGCUGAUUAAUUUUAUACUUAGGCUUGUGAUAAUCUAAGUGAUAUCCUCAAAUUUCAUGAAUUUUCAUUUUAUUCAUUCAAUGUCAAGAAAAAAACUAUGCGGAACAUUGGUUCAGAAUUUUGUAUUUUCUUAACAACGUAUUUUUUUGUUUUUUAAUCGUUUUUAUGUUACCUUUUUAUCCAUGUUUUUGUACAAUAAAGCGUUUAAUUUUUCCACCUGUUUUUCUAAAUUUUUCCCAAGGAG